rnacentral:rRNA from 1 species
UACGUAGGGUGCGAGCGUUAAUCGGAAUUACUGGGCGUAAAGCGUGCGCAGGCGGUUUUGUAAGUCUGUCGUGAAAUCCCCGGGCUUAACCUGGGAACUGCAUUUGUGACUGGCGGGCUAGAGUAUGGCAGAGGGGGGUAGAAUUCCACGUGUAGCAGUGAAAUGCGUAGAGAUGUGGAGGAAUACCGAUGGCGAAGGCAGCCCCCUGGGCCAAUACUGACGCUCAUGCACGAAAGCGUGGGGAGCAAACAGG